AGCAGGUUAACACAGAAUGUACAAAACACAAGCUGCUGGAAGCCUUUUCCACACUGCUGAGCUCCACUAGAGGGCGACAUCAUCCAGUAGGCGGUGCUCUCCUUCUGCACUGUGUUCAACCAUUGUGUCAAUAAUAAGUGCUGCUGUGAAGAGAACAAUUCUCAGACUGAAUGUUGAACAUCAGCUAGUUUCUCCUGUUGAUUGAAACCUUGUUGUACAGAUGGAACACUGGCUGUGGAUUAUUCUUGCUGCUCUUUUCUUUGAGUGUAAAGGAGAAGACAAAGUGAUCCAGGAACAAGGAGAUGGCAUUGCUGCUGAAGGAGUCACAGUUACACUUGGAUGUACUUUUGCAAGUCAAACAACAGCCACCUUGUUCUGGUACAAACAAGAAGUAAACAGUUACCCAAAAUAUAUCCUGCGGAAAUUUCUCUCUGGAGCAACAGAUAAAGCCCCAGAGUUCCAGGAGGACAGAUUUGAUGCUAAAAUCAACGAGACAUCAGUUCCUCUGAAGAUCCAGAAGCUUCAGCUGUCUGACUCUGCUGUGUACUACUGUGCUCUGCAGCCCACAGUGACAGGAAACACCAAAACUCUGUACAAAAACCUUUGGAGCAAAGACAACAGAAUACUCCACAACAUCCACUAGAGGGAGCCACACACUGUUAAACCUCUGAGAUGAACUAAAACGAUGAUGUCAAGAGGUAACUGGUCCCGCCUACUGAACCUCAGCCAACCAAUGACAAUAUUUUACUUCCAUGUUUGGUCAUAGAUGACGAACACAUAGACAUAAUCAUCAGCGUUUUCUACUCCACAUCAUGCCAAUAAUACACAUGCGUGAA